AGACUGCGAGGAUAGAGUACGGCAGAGGGGGGUAGAAUUCCACGUGUAGCAGUGAAAUGCGUAGAGAUGUGGAGGAAUACCGAUGGCGAAGGCAGCCCCCUGGGUUAGUACUGCCGCUCAUGCACGAAAGCGUGGGGAGCAAACAGGAUUAGAUACCCUGGUAGUCCACGCCCUAAACGAUGUCAACUAGGUGUUGGAAGGGUUAAACCUUUUAGUACCGCAGCUAACGCGUGAAGUUGACCGCCUGGGGAGUACGUUUUAAAAGAGGGUUAAAACUCAAAGGAAUUGACGGAAUCGAAUUCCUUU
rnacentral:rRNA from 1 species